GGGGCUGGGCCUGCGCCUGCAGCCUCUGGGAUUGUCGGGGCCCUAAACGCUCCCGGAGCGCUGAAUGUUCCCCCGCAGGGACAUGGGUGGGGGAUUCUUGGCGGCUCUCGGGGGAAGGUUUGGGAUUUUGGAAAGGCUGUUCUAAGGGUGUGGGAACUGGUGGUCCCUGGCUCUCAACCACGUGCCGGGAACUGUAUGGACUGACACUGACCACAUCUCUGAAAUCUCCAAGGAUGGAAAGUCCCGUGAGUCCCAGAGACGCAGGUCCUGCUGUGGCAUUUCACAGAUGGCAGGCUCAGGGAGGGCGAUCCUCGGUGAGAAAGGGCAUCCGAGUAGAUGGCUGGGGAGCUGCGUGUGGACCCUGGCGCCAUCCUCCUCGGGCGCCUGCUCCGGCCCGGGUGGUGACUUUUGUCAUCUCCGAUACCAGCUGCGGCCUGUGAGAGCCUGCGCCCGUGAUACUGACACCCGGCUCCGCGGACUGCUGGGAAGUCCCCUCCCGAGGAUGUCUUUCCUGCUCACUGUGCCUGCUGUGGUCAUCCCCUGGCGGCCCCAGGCCAAGGUCCAGGCUCCACUUUCCCAGGAAACCUCCCUGCCUCUCCUGGAGGCUGGGACCUCCCACUUCUCCAGCCACAUCCCUGGACACAGCCCCACCCAG
rnacentral:lncRNA from 1 species